AUAUACAGCCAUAGCAUCCUGAGAAUGCCUGGUCUCAUCUGAUCUGGGAAGCUAAGCAGGGUCGGGCCCGGUCAGUGCUUGGAUGGGAGACCAAUGGUACCUGGGGAGGAUUAGA
rnacentral:rRNA from 1 species